rnacentral:rRNA from 1 species
CCUACGGGUGGCUGCAGUGGGGAAUAUUGGACAAUGGGGGAAACCCUGAUCCAGCAAUGCCGCGUGUGUGAAGAAGGCCUGCGGGUUGUAAAGCACUUUCGGUUGGGAAGAAAAGUUUGGCGCCAAUACCGCCGAACCUUGACGUUACUGACAGAAGAAGCACCGGCUAACUCUGUGCCAGCAGCCGCGGGAAUACAGAGGGUGCAAGCGGUAAGUGGAAUCACCGGGGGUGGAGCGUGAGGAGGUGGGUGAAAGCCCCGGGCUUAACCUGGGAACUGCAUUCGAUACUACAUGGCUAGAGUAUGGUAGAGGGAAGUGGAAUUUCCGGUGUAGCGGUGAAAUGCGUAGAUAUCGGAAGGAACACCAAUGGCGAAGGCAGCUUCCUGGACUAAUACUGACACUGAGGCACGAAAGCGUGGGUAGCAAACAGGAUUAGAUACCCGGGUAGUC